rnacentral:sRNA from 1 species
UGAUAGAUCUGUAUUGGCACAUGAGCUUU